rnacentral:rRNA from 1 species
UAGGGAAUCUUCCACAAUGGACGCAAGUCUGAUGGAGCAACGCCGCGUGAGUGAAGAAGGUUUUCGGACCGUAAAGCUCUGUUGUUGGUGAAGAAAGAUAGAGGUAGUAACUGGCCUUUAUUUGACGGUAAUCAACCAGAAAGUCACGGCUAACUACGUGCCAGCAGCCGCGGUAAUACGUAGGUGGCAAGCGUUGUCCGGAUUUAUUGGGCGUAAAGCGAGCGCAGGCGGAAGAAUAAGUCUGAUGUGAAAGCCCUCGGCUUAACCGAGGAAUUGCAUCGGAAACUGUUUUCUUGAGUGCAGAAGAGGAGAGUAGAACUCCAUGUGUAGCGGUGGAAUGCGUAGAUAUAUGGAAGAAUACCAGUGGCGAAGGCGGCUCUCUGGUCUGCAACUGACGCUGAGGCUCGAAAGCAUGGGUAGCGAACAGGAUUAGAUACCCUGGUAGUCCAUGCCGUAAACGAUGAGUGCUAAGUGUUGGGAGGCUUCCGCCUCUCAGUGCUGCAGCUAACGCAUUAAGCACUCCGCCUGGGGGAGUACGACCGCAAGGUUGAAAC